rnacentral:rRNA from 1 species
UACGUAGGGUGCGAGCGUUAAUCGGAAUUACUGGGCGUAAAGCGUGCGCAGGCGGGCUUUUAAGCCAGACGUGAAAUCCCCGGGCUUAACCUGGGAACUGCGCUUGAAACUACGAGACUCGAGUGUGGCAGAGGAAGGUGGAAUUCCACGUGUAGCGGUGAAAUGCGUAGAGAUGUGGAGGAACACCGAUGGCGAAGGCAGCCUUCUGGGCCAACACUGACGCUCAUGCACGAAAGCGUGGGGAGCAAACAGG